GUACUUACAACACGGCAAGAGAGACUGGAAUCACCGCCAUGGCUGCAAGCACCAGUUCUGAUAUACUUCCAUCCGGGUUGCCUCGCCAAGAUACGGGUCCAAUUGCUCUCCCGCAUUGUCCAUUUGCUCAGAGAAAGAAGAAAAUCAUCAUCACAGCCUCAUAAUUUUCCCAUCAAUUAUUACUACUACUACUACUAUUGAUUAUCCCUUUGGAUUUGAGAAAUUGGAGAGAACAAGCAUAUUGCUGUUUAACAGCAAAAGGGCUAGUAAAGAUUCUUUUUUUCACAGCAAAAAUGAAAUCACAGGUAUUGCAGAGAGGAGCAACAUUCCCUUCAGAACUUUUUGCUUUGUUUCUCAACUCAAACAUUUUCCUACAUACGGAACACACCCUAAAUAUAACAAAAAAAAAAGCCAAGCUGAAUAGAGAAAAAUCGAGGCUCAGAUUUGUGUUAAGCUCGGGAAACAAGAGAGUCCAACAACGCCAUGGCUGCAAAAACCACCAGAAAAUCUGGGAGCAUGCCCCGCCAAGAUACAGUUUGGAUAACCUCAAAUGCCCAAUUAAUCAGAGCUCAGAAAGGAAUAAACAUUGGCAAAAAUCAUCAUUGCCUUUUUUAAGCCAUCCGAUUAUACUCAGCACCAUCGCUUCCACCAGCAACAAUCAAUGCUCCGGCAGAAGCAUUAGAGAAAAGAGAAUGCACUGUAUGGUCACAGCAUGGAAGUAUAGGUUAGAUUGAUAUGGUAUAUAUAUAUAUGUGUGUGUGUGUGUGUGUGUGUGUCUAAUUAGGUAGUUUUUCCUAAAAUUUAUAAAACGGUUGUUGGGGUUCUUACAUCAAGAGAGAAAAAAUUAGCUGAUGCAGAGAGUGGCAACCAACCUUACAAUGAAAAAUCCUCAACUCUCUGUAGCCUCAUUCUUUCCCUACUGAGAUUUUUGACAUUUGUUUCUCAACUCUUGAAAACAUUUUCUUUCAUAUCAAACACACCCUUGAUAUUAAACAAAAAAAAAAAAACCCAAAGCUGAAUAGAGAAAAAUUGAGACUCAGAUCUGUGUUAAGCUUGGGCAAAAGGAGAGUCCAACCAUGCCAUGGCUGCAAAAACCACAAGAAAAACUGGUGGCCCACCAAGAUACGGGUCUGAUAACCUCAAAUGCCCAAUUAAUCAGCUCAGCUUGGGCAAAAGGAGAGUCCAACCAUGCCAUGGCUGCAAAAACCACCAGAAAAGCUGGUGGCAUGCCCCGCCAAGAUACAGGUCUGAUAAUCUCAAAUGCCCGAUAAAUCAGCUCAUAAGGGAACAAAAAUUGGCAAAAAAUCAUCAUCACCUCUUUCAAGCCAUCCGAUUAUACUCACCAACAUCGCUUCCACUGGCAACAUUCAAUGCUCCGGCGGAAGCAUUAAAAAGGAGUUGAAAAAAAGAGUUGAAGGACAUAGAAACCCUUAAAACAAUAUGUAACAACAAUCCAAACUAGCUGUUAUUUAUGUACUCCCUCCGUUUAAAAUAGAUAAAAGGGUUGUUGGGAUCCUUACAGUAAUGGAGAAAUCAUUGGCUGAAUGUUGAGAGAGGCAACCACCCUUUCAAUGAAAAAUCUUCAACUCUUUGUAGCAUCAUUCAUUCCCUUCUGAGCUUUUUGUUUUGUGUAUCUCAACUCUCGAUAACAUAUUCCUUCAUACCAAACAUACCCUAAAUAUAACAAAAAAAGGCAAGUUGAACAGAGAAAAAUUUGAGGCUCAGAUUUGUGUUAAGCUCAGGCAACAAGAGAUUCCAACCACGCCAUGGCUGCAAAAGCCACCAGAAAAUCUGGGAGCAUGCCCCGCCAAGAUACGGGUGGUCAGAUAACAUCAAAUGCCCAAUUAAUCAGCACAGAAGGGAAUAAAAAUUGGCAAAAAUCAUCAUCGCCUCUUUCAAGCCGUCCGAUUAUACUCAGCACCAUUGCUUCCACCAGCUCCACCGGCAACAAUCAAUGCUCCGGCAGAAGCAUUAGAAAAAAGAAAAAAAAAAGAGUUGAAAGGCAAAGAAACCCAUUUCAAACAAAAGUUGUUAAUUAUAUACUUCCUCUGUUUAAAAUCGAUAAAAAGGCUGUUGGGAUUGUUACAGUAAUGGGGAAAUCACUGGCUGAAAGCAGAGAGAGGCAACCACCCUUCCAAUGAAAAAUCCUCAAACUCACUGUUAGCCUCAUUCUUUUCCUUCUAAGCUUUUGUUUAUAGUACCCUGAAGCUGUUAACAAUACUCCCUCAGUUAAAAUUAACAAAGAGACCGCUAAAUUGAGGCUCAGAUCUGUGUUAAGAUCGAGCAAAAAGAGAGUCAACCACGCCAUGGCUGCAUAAACCAGCAUGCCCCACCAAGAUACGGGUCGGAUAACCUUAAAUGCUCAAUUAAUCAGCUUAGAAGGGAAUAAAAUUGACAAAGAUCAUCAUCGCCUCUUUCAAACCGUCCGAUUAUACUCACCACCAUAGCUUCCACCAGCUCCACCGGCAACAUUCAAUGCUCCGGCAGAAGCAUUAAAAAGGAGUUGAAAAGAAAGGCUGAAGGGCAUAAAAACCUCUGAAACAAUAUGUAACAACAAUCCAAACAAGCUGUAAUAUAUAUACUCCCUCCGUUUAAAAUUGAUAAAAGGAUUGUUGGGAUCCUUACAGUAAUGGAGAAAUCAUUGGCUGAAUGUUGAGAGAGGCAACCACCCUUGCAAUGAAAAAUCCUCAACUCUUUGUAGCCUCAUUCAUUCCCUUCUGAGCUUUUUGUUUUUUGUAUCUCAACUCUCGAUAACAUUUUCCUUCAUACCAAACACACCCUAAAUAUAACAAAAAAAGCCAAGCUGAACAGAGAAAAAUUUGAGGCUCAGAUUUGGGUUAAGCUCAGGCAACAAGAGAUUCCAACCAGGCCAUGGCUGCAAAAGCCACCAGAAAAUCUGGGAGCAUGCCCCGCCAAUAUACGGGUUGGAUAACCUCAAAUGCCUGAUUAAUCAGCUCAGAAGGGAACAAACAUUGGCAAAAAUCAUCAUUGCCUCUUUCAAGCUGUCCAAUUAUUCUCAGCACCAUUGCUUCCACCAGCUCCAGUGGCAACAAUCAAUGAUCCGGCGGAACCAUUAAAAAGGAGUUUAAAAAAAGAGUUGGAAGGGCAUAUAGAAACCCAUUUCAAACAAAAGUUGAUAAUCAUAUACUUCCUCUGUUUAAAAUUGAUAAGGGGUUGUUGGGAUUCUUACAAUAAUGGAGAAAUCAUUGACUGACUGCAGUGAGAGGCAACCACCCUUUCAACGAAAAUCCUCAAACUCCCUGUUAGCCUCAUUCUUAUAGUACCCUGAAGCUGGUAAUACUACUCCCUCAGUUUAAAAUUGACGAAGAGACCAGUGCAUUGAGGCUCAGAUCUGUGUUAAACUAGAGUAUAAAGAGAGUCCAACCACGCCAUGGCUGCAAAAAACAGCAUGCCCCGCCAAGAUACGGGUCGGAUAACCUCCAAUGCUCAAUUAAUCAGCUCAGAAGGGAAUAAAGUUACAAGAAUCAUCAUCGCCUCUUCCAAGCCAUCCGAAGCAAUAUAAGCAACUGUUAGAAAAAUUAUAGGAAAUAUAAUUGAAGAAGAAAAUGGCUUUAAGGCAUGAAGAAUCGCUUUCCUUAAAGAGAUAUUGCCCGUAUACAUAUUGGGAAAAAUACAAGCAAUUGCCUUCAAGAUACAACAAAGUCCUUGUAUAUACAUGCAUAUUUUUCUUUUUGGGCUACUUCUAGAGAGUCCUUAUAUUUAUAAAACUUAAGAGAUCGACUUUUCAUAAUAGUCAUGUUUUUUCAUAGUCAUGAAGCAUAAAAUCAACUAGUGAAACUUCUUCUUAAGUAGUCUUGACAAUAGAGGUCAUCUAUCAGAGUAACUAUGACAGAAAGCUUCAUUUGGAUGUUAAUCCAUGGCUUACUUAAAUUACUCAUCAUUUAGGAUUGAAUUCCUUCAUGCACAGAAUAAAGACUAGAAGUAUUGAUUUAUUGUUUAGGUAAUGAGGUCAAUCACUAGUGUGCCCAAAAAAAACCUAGGUAGGACGGAAAAAACCUCAAAAAUUAGUGGUAUCCACAAAACAAGCAAUAACUGCAAAAUUUGCAUAAACUAUAAAAUGAUCUUACUCCCAAUAUGAUUUAUAAAUACACUGUCUUGCUCACAAAAGAUUUAUGAUUUGGCUCGUAUUCUAACACUAACUGUGGUGCUCCUGCAUAAAUUGAUGCAGUUGUAUUACAUCAUGUUAAAAAAUGAACAAUCAAAUUACAGUUUAAACUACAACAGGUCAGGUUGACGAAAUUAUGAACUUUCACCUAUAAGAAAACUAAGCAUAUCCGCAACAAAGUAACUCAAAAAUAUAUGUUAGUACUCAAAUGCCUAGAUUUCUAGACAAAGGAAUACAUUUCUGGGCACAGGCUUUGUAAUUACUAUACAGAGUUCAAAAACAAGGGAUGACAUUAAGGCACACUUAUCUCAGAGAAAGCGCUUCCCUAUUCAUUAUAAUUGAAAAUAGGGUAGUUUUAAAUAUUAAAAAGGAACAUAUUUAUCAAAACAAAGAAACACAAAAAUAGACGUUGACAUUCAUAGAGUUCUAGUCAAAAGAAAACAUUUUUAGGCACACUCGUAUGGAAAAAGCACCUCUAGGAACUCGGUAAGCUUAUACUGGGCAUGCUGUUUUUGUUGUUGGAAUAGGCUCAGAUUCGCCUUCUCUCAGGAAAAAACCAAACUUCAAAAAAACACUAUGGCUUCAAGCAUCAGUUAGCUAACUUAUGAGACAGAAAAGGAAGACCAAAAAUGGAGCUUUCUCCUCCACUUCUCACAGACCCAUCUGCACAUCAAGAUAGAGUCUUUUCUAGCUCAAUGAGAAUAUGUCUGUUUCAUCUUCCAAAGAAAUUCUCUGAACUUUUUGCUUUCUUUAAGGGCACCUUAAGUUUAAGAUCUCCGGGUUGCCCCGCUAAGAUACAGAUCCAAUUGCUCUCCCGCACUAUUGAUUUGCUCAAAGAAAGAAGAAAAUCAUCAUCACAGCCUCAUCCAUCCAAAUGAUAGAAAAUAAAUACUCUCUCCGGUUCAACUUGUUUGUCUUCCCUUUUUGGUUUGUUCCAAAAAGAAUGUCUCUUUACUUUUUUGGCAACACUUAAUUCUAACUUUCCACAUGACAUCUUUAAAACCACAAUAUUAAAGGGCACCUUAAGUUUAAGAUAUCCGGGUUUCCCCGCUAAGAUACGGAUCCAAUUGCUCUCCCGCACUAUUGAUUUUCUCAAAGAAAGAAGAAAAUCGACAUCACAGCCUCAGAAUUUUCGCAACAAUUAUUAUUAUUAUAACUGGGUGUGAGAAUUUGGAGAGAACAAGCAAAGACUUAAGGGUCAUUUGGUCGCUGUUUAGCUGCAACAAGAGCUGUUGAAUUUUUCUUUUUUCACAGCAACACUGAAAUCACAGGUAUUGCAGAGAGGAGUGACAGCCCUUUGAACUUCCUCUCUGCUCUCUGCAACCCUCAUUCUUCGUCUCUGAACUUUUACUUUUCUAGGCUAAGCUUUUUACCUUUUAUGGGAAAUUCUCAUAUGUGUUUCGACCUGCGAAUUUCCCAACUGCAACAACAACAACCCAGUAUAAUUUGACCUCCACCUUGUGGAGGUCAAGAAGCGAUUUUCAAUAGACCCUAAGCAAAUCAAACAUUGAGGCUCAGAUUUGUAAUACUGACGAUCCGGCAAGAUACACUGGAAUCAUCGCCAUGCCUGCAAGCACCGGUUGCAGGGUAACCUGUCAUCUGGAUUGCCACGCCAAGAUACAGGUACAAUCUCUUUCCUGCACUAUCGAUUUGCUCAGAGGAAGAAGAAAAUCAUCAUCAUAGCCUCGGAAUUUUCGCCAAUUAUUAUUAUUAUGACUACUAUUGAGUCUCACUUUGGGGUUGAGAGUUUCGAGAGAACAAGCAAAGAUUAAGGGGUCGUUUGGUAGUUGUUUAACUGAAAAGGGCUGUUGAAUUCAUGUUUUUUCAUAGCAAAAAUUGUAAUCACAGGUAUUGCAGAGCGGAGAAACAGCCCUUUGAAAUGUUCCCCUCUACUCUCUGCAACCCUCAUUCUUCGUCUCUAAGCUAAGCUUUUUUUCCUUGAACGGAGAAAUUCUCAUGAGUUCUUCGACCUGCGAAUUUCGCAGCUGAAACAACGACGACAACCCAGCAUAAUCUAACUCCUACUUUGUGGAGGUAACAAGAUUGUUUCCGAUACUCUAUCAGCAAAUGAAACAUUGAGGCUCAGAUUUGUUAUACUUACAACAUGGCAAGAGAGACUGGAAUCACCGCCAGGGCAGCAAGCACCGAUUGCAAGGUAACCUGAAAUCCAGGUUGCCCCCGCCAAGAUAUGGGUCCGAUUUCUUUCAUGCGCUAUCGAUUUGCUCAGGGAAAGAAGAAAAUCAUCAUCAUAGCCUCAGAAUUUUUGCAACAAUUAUUAUUAUUAUCAUUACUACUACUAUUGAUUCUCACUUUGGGGUUGAGAAUUUCGAGAGAACAAGCAAAGAUUUAGGGGUCAUUUGGUAGUUGUUCAACUGAAAAGGGCUGUUGAAUUUAUAUUUUUUCACAGCAAAAAUUGAAAUCACAGGUAUUGCAAAGAGGAGCAACAGCCUUUUGAAGUGUUCCCCUCUGCUCUCUGCAAUCCUCAUUAUUUGUCUCUGAGCUAAGCUUUUUUCCUUUAACGGACAAACUCGCAGACGCAACAACAAUAACAACAACAACAAAACCCAGUGUAAUCUCACUCCAAAGAUUGUUUCAGACACACUUUCAGCAAAUGAAACAAUGAGGCUCAGAUCUGUAGUACUUACAACACGGCAAGAGAGACUGGAAUCACCGCCAUGGCUGCAAGCACCGGUUCUGAUAUACUUCCAUCCGGCUUGCCUCGCCAAGAUACGGGUCCAAUUGCUCUCCAUUGUCCAUUUGCUCAGAGAAAGAAGAAAAUCAUCAUCACAGCCUUAUAAUUUUCGCAUCAAUUAUUACUACUACUACUACUAUUGAUUAUCCCUUUGGAUUUGAGAAAUUGGAGAGAACAAGCAUAUAGCUGUUUAACCGCAAAAGGGCUAUUAAAGAUUCUUUUUUUCACAGCAAAAAUGAAAUCACAGGUAUUGCAGAGAGGAGCAACAGCCCUUUGAAUUUCCCCUCUACUCUCCGCAACCCUCAUUCUUCGUCUAUGACCUUUCACUUUUCUGGACUAAGCUUUUUUUCCUUUUAUGGGAAAUUUCACAGCUGCAGUUCAUAAAAAUCAAUGAGGCUCAGAUAUGUAAUACUUACAAUACAGCAAAGAGAGACUCAAAUCACCGCCAUGGCUGCAAGCACCGGUUUCUAGGUCACCUUCCAUCCGGGUUGCCCCGCCAAGAUACGGGUCC
rnacentral:lncRNA from 1 species